rnacentral:rRNA from 2 species
AGAGUUUGAUUCUGSCUCAGAGCGAACGCUGGCGGCAGGCUUAACACAUGCAAGUCGAGCGGGCGUAGCAAUACGUCAGCGGCAGACGGGUGAGUAACGCGUGGGAACGUACCUUUUGGUUCGGAACAACUGAGGGAAACUUCAGCUAAUACCGGAUAAGCCCUUACGGGGAAAGAUUUAUCGCCGAAAGAUCGGCCCGCGUCUGAUUAGCUAGUUGGUGAGGUAACGGCUCACCAAGGCGACGAUCAGUAGCUGGUCUGAGAGGAUGAUCAGCCACNUUGGGACUGAGACACGGCCCAAACUCCUACGGGAGGCAGCAGUGGGGAAUAUUGGACAAUGGGCGAAAGCCUAGAUCCAGGCCAUGCCGCGUGGAKGRUGAAGGCCCUAGGGUUGUAAAGCUCUUUUGUGCGGGAAGAUAAUGACGGUACCGCAAGAAUAAGCCCCGGCUAACUUCGUGCCAGCAGCCGCGGUAAUACGAAGGGGGCUAGCGUUGCUCGGAAUC